rnacentral:rRNA from 1 species
UACGUAGGGGGCAAGCGUUGUCCGGAAUCAUUGGGCGUAAAGGGCGCGUAGGCGGCCCAGUAAGUCCGCUGUAAAAGUCAAAGGCUCAACCUUUGAAUGCCGGUGGAUACUGCUGGGCUAGAGUCCGGAAGAGGCGAGUGGAAUUCCUGGUGUAGCGGUGAAAUGCGCAGAUAUCAGGAGGAACACCAAUUGCGAAGGCAGCUCGCUGGGACGUGACUGACGCUGAGACGCGAAAGCGUGGGGAGCGAACAGG